rnacentral:rRNA from 1 species
AGAGACGAAUAAGGCAUGGCUAAUAUCCAUGUUGAUGACGGUAUCUCCUUAGCAAGCACCGGCUAACUCUGUGCCAGCAGCCGCGGUAAGACAGAGGGUGCAAACGUUGUUCGGAAUUACUGGGCGUAAAGCGUGUGUAGGCGGUUCUGUAGGUCGGAUGUGAAAGCCCUCGGCUCAACCAAGGAAGUGCAUUCGAAACCCCAGAACUGGAGUGUUGGAGAGGAAGGCGGAAUUGUCGGUGUAGAGGUGAAAUUCGUAGAUAUCGACAGGAACACCUGCGGCGAAAGCGGCCUUCUGGACAAACACUGACGCUGAGACACGAAAGCGUGGGGAGCAAACAGGAUUAGAUACCCUGGUAGUCCACGCCGUAAACGAUGGGUGCUAGAUGUCACGGGCUUUGACCCCUGUGGCGUCGUAGCCAACGCGUUAAGCACCCCGCCUGGGAAGUACGGUCGCAAGACUAAAACUCAAAGGAAUUGACGGGGG